rnacentral:rRNA from 1 species
ACGAACGCUGGCGGCGUGCUUAACACAUGCAGGUCGAACGGAAAGGCCCUGCUUGCAGGGUACUCGAGUGGCGAACGGGUGAGUAACACGUGGGUGAUCUGCCCUGCACUUCGGGAUAAGCCUGGGAAACUGGGUCUAAUACCGGAUAGGAGCCAUUUUUAGUGUGAUGGUUGGAAAGUUUUUUCGGUGUAGGAUGAGCUCGCGGCCUAUCAGCUUGUUGGUGGGGUAAUGGCCUACCAAGGCGGCGACGGGUAGCCGGCCUGAGAGGGUGGACGGCCACAUUGGGACUGAGAGACGGCCCAGACUCCUACGGGAGGCAGCAGUGGGGAAUAUUGCACAAUGGGCGCAAGCCUGAUGCAGCGACGCCGCGUGGGGGAUGACGGCCUUCGGGUUGUAAACUCCUUUCGCUAGGGACGAAGCUUUUUGUGACGGUACCUAGAUAAGAAGCACCGGCUAACUACGUG